rnacentral:rRNA from 1 species
ACAUGCAAGUCGAGCGAACAGAUAAGGAGCUUGCUCCUUUGACGUUAGCGGCGGACGGGUGAGUAACACGUGGGUAACCUACCUAUAAGACUGGGAUAACUUCGGGAAACCGGAGCUAAAACCGGAUAACAUUUGGACCCGCAUGGUUCUAAAGUGAAAGAUGGUUUUGCUAUCACUUAUAGAUGGACCCGCGCCGUAUUAGCUAGUUGGUAAGGUAACGGCUUACCAAGGCGACGAUACGUAGCCGACCUGAGAGGGUGAUCGGCCACACUGGAACUGAGACACGGUCCAGACUCCUACGGGAGGCAGCAGUAGGGAAUCUUCCGCAAUGGGCGAAAGCCUGACGGAGCAACGCCGCGUGAGUGAUGAAGGGUUUCGGCUCGUAAAACUCUGUUAUUAGGGAAGAACAAACGUGUAAGUAACUGUGCACGUCUUGACGGUACCUAAACAGAAAGCCACGGCUAACUACGUGCCAGCAGCCGCGGUAAAACGUAGGUGGCAAGCGUUAUCCGGAAUUAUUGGGCGUAAAGCGCGCGUAGGCGGUUUCUUAAGUCUGAUGUGAAAGCCCACGGCUCAACCGUGGAGGGUCAUUGGAAACUGGGAAACUUGAGUGCAGAAGAGGAAAGUGGAAUUCCAUGUGUAGCGGUGAAAUGCGCAGAGAUAUGGAGGAACACCAGUGGCGAAGGCGACUUUCUGGUCUGUAACUGACGCUGAUGUGCGAAAGCGUGGGGAUCAAACAGGAUUAGAUACCCUGGUAGUCCACGCCGUAAACGAUGAGUGCUAAGUGUUAGGGGGUUUCCGCCCCUUAGUGCUGCAGCUAACGCAUUAAGCACUCCGCCUGGGGAGUACGACCGCAAGGUUGAAACUCAAAGGAAUUGACGGGGACCCGCACAAGCGGUGGAGCAUGUGGUUUAAAUCGAAGCAACGCGAAGAACCUUACCAAAUCUUGACAUCCUUUGAAAACUCUAGAGAUAGAGCCUUCCCCUUCGGGGGACAAAGUGACAGGUGGUGCAUGGUUGUCGUCGCUCGUGUCGUGAGAUGUUGGGUUAAGUCCCGCAACGAGCGCAACCCUUAAGCUUAGUUGCCAUCAUUAAGUUGGGCACUCUAGGUUGACUGCCGGUGACAAACCGGAGGAAGGUGGGGAUGACGUCAAAUCAUCAUGCCCCUUAUGAUUUGGGCUACACACGUGCUACAAUGGACAAUACAAAGGGCAGCUAAACCGCGAGGUCAUGCAAAUCCCAUAAAGUUGUUCUCAGUUCGGAUUGUAGUCUGCAACUCGACUACAUGAAGCUGGAAUCGCUAGUAAACGUAGAUCAGCAUGCUACGGUGAAUACGUUCCCGGGUCUUGUAAAAACACACCGCCCGUCACACCACGAGAGUUUGUAACACCCGAAGCCGGUGGAGUAACCAUUUAUGGAGCUAGCCGUCGA